rnacentral:rRNA from 1 species
UACGGAGGGUGCAAGCGUUAUCCGGAUUUACUGGGUUUAAAGGGUGUGUAGGCGGACUUUUAAGUCAGCGGUGAAAUCUCCGGGCUCAACCCGGAAACUGCCAUUGAUACUAUUAGUCUUGAAUGUUGUUGAGGUGGGAGGAACGGGUCAUGUAGCGGUGAAAUGCAUAGAGAUCAUGAGGAAGACCAGUGGCGAAGGCGGGUCUCUGGACAGUUCCUGACACUGAGGCACGAAGGCCAGGGGAGCAAACGGG